UACUUGCGUUGGGGACGCAGAGUGGGCGGAGUUUAGUAGGAAGGAAAUGGCGUCGCUGGGCUGCGCCAGGCGCCGGAUCUAAAGGAAUCACUUUCCCCCGCUUAUGCAGUAGUCAUUUGACUAACUCUACCAGCUAAACGUCUCUUGGAUGUAUUCCCUUUUCUCCAUCCCAGUGCUGCUGUCGUCAUUUGUCACCUAGCUUGAAUGGGAGUCCUUCCCUGAGAUACAUCUUCCACGUGGGGCUGCCAGAUGGAUCUUCUGGAAACACUAAUCAAAGCAUGCCCACACCUGCCUUAAAAUCUCAACUUGUUAGCCCGCUAUAUAAGGCCAUCGGCGACAGGGCCUCAGCCUGCUUCUCAGCCUGAGUGCUGACCACACACUCCAGCACCACCCCACCCUCAAAUCUUCCUGUCAUCGGAGCUUGCCAGUCUCACUGAACACAGGGGACCCGGUGGCGCUCGCAACCAGGGGACAGGCCCUCCUGAGCUGAGGAUGGCUACUCAGGGCCCUUUCUCCAUCUCACCUCUCAGGUAAGUCAGCAGUUACCAUCCUGCCCUCCACUCUGCUUUUGGAGAGAGUGAGGGUGACUCUGGAGACAGGUGAGCCCAGCAGGCAAACUGGCGGGCGCCAUAAGGGGCUCUGGUAGAGAAGAGCCGCUCUGACAGCCUCAGAGAGGAGACAGGACCAGAGGGGCUAUCGACUCUUUUCCUGGCUUAUGGUAAAGCAGUUCCCAACUCCUUUCUCCUCGUGUUUUGUCUCCAGGCAACCAGUUCCCCUACAAUCAAGUACCCAAAACUGUGUCGACCCUCAGAUUUUGCUUUGUUUGAUCAGUAACAAGUUUUAACAUAUUUCAGAUUUAAAUACCUUGUGGGUACAGUAUGUAUAUCCUUUCAUUUUCUACAGUCCCCACCACUCCCAAUUGCUUUCACAGGCCUGCUCCAUUAUAUCUGAUCUGACUCUGAUCUUCUGCUGGUAGGUGACAUAUUAACCCUUUCACUUUUAUCACCUUAAUCCUCUCCUUUCUUUCUCCUUCUCUGAAGUCAACAGCCUCAAGGAAUGAGUGUCAGUCUUGAGUGCCUGCCCCCGCCCAUGCCUCCACUGCUUCACUGGCCCCACUGGGCCCCACUCUUCACAUCUGCCUUUCAUGUCCUCAAAUCAUCCCCCUCCCAGAGCCUGCACACAUUCUGGCCCCUCUUCCUGCCAUGCCCUCUGUCUCCUCCUGGUUAAUUCACACUCAGCCUCCAGAUCUCCACCCAAAUGUCACUUUCUCAAGAAAACCCUUCCUGAGGCCCAGGCCAGGCUGGGUCCCUCACAUGCUCAGAACACCCUGCACUUCUGCUUCACAGCACUUACCGCAAUUGUCUUACAAUAAUUACCUGUGAAAUGAACUAUUAGCUGACAUUUUCCUUCCCUCCUCCCCCACUCCUGACCGCCACCAUCUCCUAGACAUGAGCUCAGGGAGGGCAGUUACUCUGUUUGCCUGGUUCAUAGUUGUAUCUGCAACUCUUGGGACAAUUUGAGUGCUCGUUACAUAUUGAUGAGUGUGUGAGUGAGUGAGUGAGUGAGAACGAAAGGAUGGUCAGGAUGUCAUCAGACUGAGAUGGCAGGGAGGAGAAUUUCAGGACAAGACAGGAUGAACAGAGGUCCCAAGACAGCGCAGCAUGGAGCAUAUGACCGUACCAUGAGAAGUCUAGUUCAUUCAUAAAUUCCAGCCUUUGUGAAUGAGCUGGACUUCCCGAAGGCACCUCAGUGAGCAGGAGGCUGUCCCUCUGUCAUUCUUUCCCUCACCACUGCGCCCGAAGUGCCCGCCAUGUGUAGGCAGGAGAGAGUCACCCAGCUUCUGUGGGCCCUUUGACUUGUCCCCAGAAAGUCCCCUUUUGCACUCCUUCUAGUAAGUUUUCCUCAACGUCCCCCAUCUAUUUAAACUCCUUAUUUCAUUUCCUCUUGAAAUAAAAACCAUUUGCUAAAAUCUUCCUCCAUUUCUCUUUUUUCCAUCUGAACUCUAGCCCUCAGCAGCACUUUACAUUUAGUGGAGAAGGGAGAACAGUCUUCUCAGGACGAGUUUUUCUAAAUGUUUGUGGUUUUACCUGAAUUGUUUUUGUUUGAGGUUUAAAGGGAUCCAUUGACUUUUCUGACCCAUUCAGGAACUUUGCUAUUUUUAAAUACAAGAGGGAUGUGCCAAGUAAUAGCAAAUCAAAACCACCUCCACUGGUGAAAAUUACCUUCAAGAAGGACAGACCAUGGAGCGUUUGAGAUCUUGUUCCUCGCCAUAUGGCGUCAGUUUGGCUAAAAUAAACUCAUAAAAAUUUCAAAACAACAACAAAAAAGGACAGACCACCUUUCAGAGGGCUGGUGAAGUAAUGGAGAGGAGGGUCUGGGUGCAGGAGUUUGGGUGCUGAGCCAGCUCUGACCACAGCCCCUGGCAGGUGGUCCUGCACAGCACUGGCCUUCUCGGCACGACAAGGGAGUUGGUCAGGGACUGGGUCUCAAGCCUCUCUCUAACUCUUAUGACUCACCUGGGUCUCCGAGGUCAAGGUUAGUGGAUGUCACUCUUUCCCCCUUCACAGAAGCCCAGGAAAGUCCCAGAGCAUAGGUCACCAUGCGGCAGCCUUGGCAGGCUGCCUGUGUCCUUAGAUAAUCAUCAUGCCUGUCUGCGGAGGGGGCGCAUUGUGAGUCCCAAUUUACAGGAAUGGAAGGAGAUUAGAGAAGUGGCUCUUUCUGUGUUCUGUGAAGAGUAGGACUCUCACUUCCACCCGCUGGGGCUGUUGACUCAGAAGUGGGCCUCAUGAUUGGUGUUAUGGGUUGCAUGUUUGUGUCUCUCCCAAAUGCAUGUUGAAAUCCUAACCCCAAAUGUUAUGAUUUUAGGAGAUGGGGAUUUUGCGAAGUAAUUAAGUCAUGAGGGUGGGGCCCUCAUGAGUGGAAUUAGUGCCCUUAUAAAAGAGGCCCCGGAGAACUAGCUCACCCUCUUUCUGCAUGUGAGGACACAAGGGGAAGAUGAGCUGGAAGAGGGUCCUCACCAGGACCCAACCCUGCUGGCACCCUGAUCUCAGACUUCCAGCCUCCAGAACUGUGAGAAAUACAUGCAUGUUGUUUAAGUCACCCAGGCUACAGUAAUUUGUUACAGCAGCCAGUUGGGUUGACAGAAGGGUUCUCUGCAUACGUGGAGGUCUCUCCAUAGUCCCUUUAGGGAGAC